CCUACGGGAGGCAGCAGUGAGGAAUAUUGGUCAAUGGCCGAGAGGCUGAACCAGCCAAGUCGCGUGAGGGAUGACGGCCCUACGGGUUGUAAACCUCUUUUGUCGGGGAGCAAAGAGAGUCACGUGUGACUCAUUGAGAGUACCCGAAGAAAAAGCAUCGGCUAACUCCGUGCCAGCAGCCGCGGUAAUACGGAGGAUGCGAGCGUUAUCCGGAUUUAUUGGGUUUAAAGGGAGCGUAGACGGCAGCGCAAGUCUGGAGUGACAUGCCGGGGCUCAACCCCGGAACUGCUUUGGAAACUGUGCAG
rnacentral:rRNA from 1 species